CACCCGCAGCCCCACCAACCAAACCCUAACUCCUCCCAUCGCACUCCUCCUUCCUCAUCUCCUCGCUGCCGCCACCUCCUCCGUGUCCUGCCACCUCCUCAUCUCCGUCGAACCACCAGCUCCUCCUUCCUCGACGCGUCCCACAGCGGUGCCCACCGCGUCGCCUGCCGGUCGCCCUCGUGGGUGGCUGCGUCCGCCAGCUCCACCGACGACCUGCUACCCCCGCGCUGGCCUCUCCCACACCCCUCUCUACCCCUAGAUUCCCGUCACCGGCGGCGGCGCCCUCCUUCCCUCACGCUGCACCUGAAGCUCCCUCCCGCUCCCAGCUUUUCUUCCUCUGCCGCCGCCGCUAGGGUUUCGUCUCCCCGAUCCCCAUUCCCCGAAGGUUGGAUCCAGCAGAAGCAGUGAUGGUGGCCGCGGGAGACCCUCUCCAAGGUUCAGGCCAAGGCCACUGAUGGAGCUGCAGCCGCCGAAGAAGCCGACUUGUCGGAUGUGGCCCCCGCCCCCGCCAAGGACCUCAAGAUCUGGGAUGCGCGUCGGAUGUGCUUCCCCAACGACGACGCUGACGACGCCGCCGCCGUAAGAAUACCUAGAUGGAGUUGGAGAAAGUGGUGAAGGUCAAGGAGCAAGCUAUUGCUGGCAGGCUGUACUACAUUACAAUCCAGGUUGAUGAAGGCGGGGCAAAGAAGCUGUAUAAAGCCAAGGUGCUGGAGCAGCUGUGGCUGGAUGUCAAGAAGCUCCUGGAGUUCAAGCCGGCAGAGGGCGCCUCUCCCAACGUUUAAGGGUCGUCCCAACUGUUCAAGGAACUGCAUAUUUGGUGUGGAUAUAGCUACCGCUCGUGCGACAUGUCUUUAGCAUGCUCUCUUGUCUGCGACCUCUUCCUGGGCUUCGCAACCAGCUUUGAGCAGGUCUACGCACUGGCCCCUCCGGCCAGGUCUACCUCGACAAGUGCUACAUUACCUACAGCUACUACCCCCAUGACGGCGGCCUCGGAGCUGCAGCUCACCCACGAAGACAAGAAGAACGAGAACAAGGAGGUGGCCGUCAAUGACUUCCUACCUUCAGAAGAUGCCUACAAGGCCAUCCAACACUCCAUGGAUCAGGGGUGAGGGGAGGCAUGGAGGAGGCGUUCGACAUGUACCGGCAGUCAAUGAUCGGCGUGGCCCUCAUCGAUACGCUAGACAAGAUGGUGGCCAGCGACAUGCACAGCCCCGAGCUCGCCAUGGUCGUCGUCGUGCAGUUCGACAAGAUUGGCCAAGUGUUCGUUAAUCUGCAAGCCCGUUUAAGAGCUGGGAUUGGCCGGUCGAAUUCAACACGGAGCUGAGUGUAUGUCGAAACAUUUCGUCCAUCAAGCGUCGCCUCUCCGCCUCCGGCCACCCCGACGACGCCCUCGCCUUCGCCAACCUCCACUACUCCAUGAGGCUGCGUGUGUGCGCAUGGCGGCGGGUCUGCUAUGGUGCGUGCGGUGGUGGCGCGGCUAGGCUCGAGCAGCUGCGAUGCGGCAGGGAGGGAGUUGCUUCCUCUUGUCCUGCUUCGUGUCCCUGAGGUGGCUAGCUGCACAGGGGGCGGCCGAGGAGGGUGCUGUGGCGAGAAGAGGAGGAAGAAGGCGGCGGCGGAUUUGGACUGCGUACGAGUCAGGCUGCGGCAGGGAGCUGUUGUUGUUGGUGCUGCUGAACAGAGGAGGAACUACAGCUGCUGCUGCCUUGUGAUGUUCCUGGAAGCUUGCUAAGCUACUACUACUUGUGUGGCUGCUUCUUGCUGCUGCGGCAGAGAAAGAAAGAGGUGCAGCGUGCUGAACAGUAAGAGCCUAGGUUGGACUACUUUACAGUGUAUUUUUUUCUAUGGACUUGUUGUUGUGAGCUUGAUGUUGUCGUGGUGGUUAUUACUGUUACAUGUUACAUGUGGAGAUGCUUCAUGCUUUAGUCCCUAGCUGCUUUCUAUAUUUGUUUUUAUUUUGUUUCUAACUCUUUUUGUUUAUUGUUAGAUGCCUUCGUUCAGCCUGUACAAACAUAUCUAGAAAUGGUGUUUCAUCUCAUUAUGAAGCUCCCGCCUAAAAGUGAAGAAUUUAGGAGUAUUGUUGUAGUAGCCUGAAAGUGAAGAAGUUAGGAAUAUAGUUGUUAUAUGUUGUGAUAGUAUCACAUGUAAUGGUGAAAUGAAUUAUGUAAAGAUUGUGCUAUUAGCCAAAUUUUCAUGUGGUUUGAUAAUUUU